rnacentral:other from 1 species
AUGACUCUGCGGUUUCCGUGAUUGGAUAGACAUACGGGGCGAGCCAACAGUUUCAAUUCGGGAGCUCGAUCACGCGGCGUGGAAGUGGUAGCCUCGGCUUCGGCUGAGAUAAGACAGAAGCGCCCAAUCGGCACCCACCUGCGUUUGCAGGUUCGCAACCCACUGUCCACACGAUCUCGCGGAGUCAUU